AACAAACGCUGGCGGCAGGCUUAACACAUGCAAGUCGAGCGCCCCGCAAGGGGAGCGGCAGACGGGUGAGUAACGCGUGGGAACCUACCCAUCUCUACGGAAUAACGCAUGGAAACGUGUGCUAAUACCGUAUACGUCCUUCGGGAGAAAGAUUUAUCGGAGAUGGAUGAGCCCGCGUUGGAUUAGCUAGUUGGUGGGGUAAAGGCCUACCAAGGCGACGAUCCAUAGCUGGUCUGAGAGGAUGAUCAGCCACACUGGGACUGAGACACGGCCCAGACUCCUACGGGAGGCAGCAGUGGGGAAUAUUGGACAAUGGGCGCAAGCCUGAUCCAGCCAUGCCGCGUGAGUGAUGAAGGCCCUAGGGUUGUAAAGCUCUUUCACCGGUGAAGAUAAUGACGGUAACCGGAGAAGAAGCCCCGGCUAACUUCGUGCCAGCAGCCGCCGUAAUAC
rnacentral:rRNA from 1 species